UUUUAUUUGGGCACAUAUAGAUAAGAUGUGUUUCGAAGAUUUAGGAGGAUUCAUUAACAUGCAAAACGGUAAAGUAAAAUGGUUCAACAAUGAAAAAGGUUUCGGAUUUAUCGAAGUUGAAGGCGGAGACGAUGUAUUCGUUCACUUCACUGCAAUCGAAGGCGACGGUUACAAAUCUUUAGAAGAAGGUCAAGAAGUUUCUUUUGAAAUCGUAGAAGGAAACCGUGGACCUCAAGCUGCUAACGUUGUAAAACUAUAAUCGAACUUAUAAAGCCGGCAAGAUGUGCCGGCUUUUUUAU
rnacentral:other from 1 species